rnacentral:rRNA from 1 species
ACGGGAGGCAGCAGUGGGGAAUAUUGGGCAAUGGGCGCAAGCCUGACCCAGCAACGCCGCGUGAAGGAAGAAGGCUUUCGGGUUGUAAACUUCUUUUAAGGGGGAAGAGGAGAAGACGGUACCCCUAGAAUAAGCCACGGCUAAAUACGUGCCAGCAGCCGCGGUAAUACGUAUGGUGCAAGCGUUAUCCGGAUUUACUGGGUGUAAAGGGAGCGCAGACGGCAUGGCAAGCCAGAUGUGAAAGGCAGGGGCUCAACUCCUGGACUGCAUUUGGAACUGUCAAGCUAGAGUAUCGGAGAGGUAAGUGGAAUUCCUAGUGUAGCGGUGAAAUGCGUAGAUAUUAGGAGGAACACCAGUGGCGAAGGCGGCUUACUGGACGAUAACUGACGUUGAGGCUCGAAAGCGUGGGGAGCAAACAGGAUUAGAUACCCUGGUA